GCGGCGGGGCCACGCUGGCCGGCCUCGGGGCCGGGUCCCUGGCGAUUCAGGCCUUUUGCUAAGAGUUGUGACGUGCACGUGACCCCAUUGACCAGCCUUUCCCGCAUGAAUUCUUGACAACUUUCAAGAUCCAGAUGGGAAGAGGGCAGUGCUAUAGGAGGGGAGACCACUGGUGACACGCCAGGCGGAUCCAAAACCAAGCAGAAGCGCUCAGAAGCACCCUUGUCAGAACACUGGGAGAGAGACGUUGACAGCCACCAACCGAAUGCUGAACAAAGGCGGAGGAAACUGGAAAAUGAAUGCUAUGGUGAAUGCCACCGAGUCCAUGGGGACAGUAAUGAGAAAAUGAAGAUGGAUGCUUCUUGGAGCUCAGCUAACGGCUUUGCUCUGGUUCCAUCAUCUGCCUUUAAUGGUUCUGGUUCCUCUAUGGAGAUCAUUGGUUUUCAGCAAGGUCCAGUGAAGAGGCAGAGAACUGAGUUAGCUGUGUCGUCUUAGGAGUUGGGGGCCAUCCCCAAAGACCUCCAUGGCCUCUGAAUUUAAUUGUGAUAAAAAGAAAACAGCAAAAGGACCCGAAUUAGUUGUCCCCACUGGAACUCUUCCGCCUUCCCGGACGUUGUUGCCCGAGUGGGUGGAGGAAGAACUUUGGACAGAUUUCUACGCUUCCCACCCUCUGACACCUGUAGAAAAUCGUCAUUCUAGUCCAGAGAUAUUUUAAAGUACAGAGGACACGAGUGCAUAUAAGACGUGAUCCCUCCCCUCGAGCUGCUCACCUCUAGAAGACAGAUGAAAGAGGACAAAGUUAUCGGUUUCCCCCUGGACUCCUGCAAACUCCACCUGGAAGAAGCAUCUGUUCUCCAUCUCCGAGGCAGUGGUUCUCACACAUGCUCAUCACAAGAGUCCCUCAAAGGGGCAGAGUCCCAGCUGGAAUCAGGAAAUGUGAUCACAGAAGCCAGGUCAGAGUGAUGUGCCUGUUGGCUUCAAAGACGGAGGACAGGGGCCAUGAGCCAAAGGAUGUGAGCAGCCUCUAGAAGCUGGACAAGGCAAAGAUUCUCUGCCAGAGACUCUGAAAGGAACAGAGCUCCGCCGACAUCUGCGUUAGCCCAGUGAGACCCUUUUUGGACAUCUGGACUAGAGAAUGGAGCCGAUGCCUUCAUCUCUCUAACUAAGACCUGACACGUCCAUGGGGUCCAGCGGGAGGACAGGUGAACUGCUUUGGCUAUUGUGCGUGCUGUGGCUGGAGCCCGCUCAGCAUUCCAUUGGCACGGCGUUUAGAACCUGAGUCUCUGCAAACAUGAUUAAAGGAAAGGAGUUACUAGUUUUUCCUCUCUUCUGGCUGUUAUCUGGGAAGCUCUGAACUCAGAGGAGUUGCCGAGUGGGGGUGUCCUGCAUGAAAGAAGAUGGGAAGGAAAGAACUCCCCAUUUCACCUUCCUAAGCAGUGGAGGAAGGGGAUCAGAAACAGCAAGUGCUGAUGAAAACUCCACUUCCAAAUACAUUCCAUGGCUUAUUUGUGGAGGGAAAUGCUUUUUACCUUUUGAACUUUCAGAUACCUGGCAACAGCAAAUGGGUCCUCAGGGGGACAGAGAGGUGUAAAUGGAAGCUCCUGUAAACGACUGUUGGCUUUCCCCCCAGGAUCUCUGGAUCCAGGGACAUGGAAUAAAUGUCUACCAUGAUUCCAUCUGGGAUGACACGCCAGGUUACAGAGCCUAUCAGAAGAAAAACAUUGGAGCAGAACAGUAGGAUAACAGUGGAACUUUCUCCAGGAAAAGGUGAAAUGAAUCCACAGGAAAAGGAGUUCUGUCGCUUUCAUGUUUGACACUCAUACAACUGUGCUAAAGAAAACAUUUCUGGCAUAUUUUUAGCCUUAUUAUGGAAAGUGGACCCUGCUGGGUCACAUGGACAAGCUUCCAAUCCAAUAAGAGUCAGAAAUGCAAAAGAAAAAUACCCUGGGAAAGUUUCCUCCCGCUAGGACAUGGCAGGGAAUACAUUGCAUUCCCUUGUCCAGCCUAUAAUUAAGAUGAAAGGCAUAUUCCUAUCCAAUUUACCAUCCGCUGGCAUGGUUAACAUUCCAGCCUGGCUUCCCUAGCCCAGUUCGCCUAAUGCAACACAUUUUUAGGGAAAGAAAAGAAGAAAAAAAAAAAAGUAAAACACAUUUUACUCUCAAGUGUUUCACAGGAUGA